UGUUUUUCAUGGUUGAGUUUUAUUACAAUAAUAUUGUUAUAUAUGCUUGAUUGUGGAUGUUUCUAAGAGGAGUGUGAAUUGCGUGUUUUGGGGUACAAGGUAAUCAUCCAUUUGAAUUUAAGUUGUUGAGCGGUUGGUGGAUAGCUCCAACUAUCAUUGCAAAGAAUGAUUGUUUAUGUUGAGAAACCAGUUUUGAAAGAAAUGAAUAUUGGUACUUUAUAUGGAUUUUUGGGGGAAGUCUUUUCAUAGCCAGAAUGGCUUACAUGUCUCUCUCAUAUUGUGUGUUUUAGUUGCCACAAAGCCUAGAUGUGGUUUAAAGUGGUUGCCUGUUAGUCAUACUAAUUGUAGAAUAAAUCUUUGAUUCUCUUGAUCCAUUGAUUAUGUAUUGAUACAUUGAGGAUCUGAUGGUUCCCUUUUCGAUGCAUGCUUGUGGAGCCAUUUUUUAGACCACCUAUCUAUUGGUUUGAAGGAAGUCCUUGCCUAGCCUAGAGUUGGUUGGGUGUGGCUAGUCACCUAUUCCUAGAUCAUGUGGUGUUUACAUCAGCUUAAUAUGUUUGUCAAAUGUGUGAAGGAUUAGGGGUUAUUAUUAUUGACUUUGUAUGUCUGGUACUUUGAGUGCAUCGUAUGAUAGAAUGAAAUGUAAGUUUCUGAACUACAGUAGAUGAAGACUUAUAUUAUGUGUAGGUUAUCCUUACUAGUUGGAUAUUUUUCUUAGUUGAGAUGUUGAAUGAAGUAUAGUGACAUGGGUUAAGCAAGUAUUGUGUUGUUGUUGGGCUAUCAGUGCUCUAUGUAGAGUUUUUGGCAUUUCUUCGAUGAACUAUGCCGCACAAGAUGUUAUUGGCUUCUUUUGGCUUUAUUGCUCCAUUAGUUCUAUAGAUUUUCUCCCUUUUGGUGGGGUGCAAGGAAUGUUAGAUUACAUGAUUAUCUUUUCAUGAUGGCAAGAAUAAGGUUUAGGAAGAUUAGGAGUUUUGUUCCAAUAGAACUACUUGUUUCAUAGUGCUUUAAGGUGAGGUGUUUGAUCUUCUUAUACAUUCGUCGGGUGUAGAUGUUUCACCAUUUAAUUAAAAUUAAUGGUUGAAGUUGGUAAGGGUUGUGCUUGGUGCAUAUUACCCCUUCAUAAAAGAGUGUUGUCUUAAGACAUUGAUGUUGAUGUAUAGCUGCAUCCAAAUUUGAUGGUGUGAAAUUGGAGUGUUGAUUGCAACUAUGACAUGCUUUGUGCUUCAUUACAUGUUGUUUCAUGCUUGAUGUCAGGUCGUAUAGUUUCCUUAGACAAUUAGUCCAAGGUAGAAGUUCUUGUGUUAAUUAAGACCAAUAAUGGACCCAUGUUUUGAAUUGUGGUGCUAUAUGGGGUACCUUGGGUGUUUUGCUUGGAGUGGCCGAAUUCGAGGUCGAAUUCUUUUUAAGAGGGGUAGAGUGUAAUAUCCCAAAAAAAAAUGUUGACCAAAAGUUAAUCUCUGGUGCGUGGAUGAGGUAAAGGGUUGUGGGCCAUUGGAUGCAAAGAUAGAAGUCAUCUGAGGCGUCGUUUCUUUCUCCCACAAAAAACCCUAGGUGGCCACCCCUUUUUUUUCCCUUCACCCCCCUCUUGGCCGCCACCCCCUUUUUCUCCCCCUUGGCUGGACGCCCCCUCCCCCUAUGGCAGCCAUCCUCCAUUGCUUCCUCCCCCAAGAUCUCCCCCUACGCAGCAAGGAUCGAGAAAAGGAGGGGCACGUUGAAUUGAAGAGGAAGAGAGGAUCAGGGAGAUGUUCUUCCCCAUCUCCUCUUGAAGAUUUCUUGGGGAAACCCUAGGUAUGGAUGAGAUCCUUGUUCCUCCCUGUAAUUAUAGGCUUUUGGAGGUUGUGGAUCAUGGGAAUUAAAGGAUUAGAGGUUGGAUUUGAUGUGGGGUUAGGUUUUGAUCUCGAAUUUAGUUUUCUGCAGAAUGGCAGAUUCGACAGUUUCUGUUCAUGCCAGUUUUCUGUGGUCUUAGUGGCCUCAAAAAAAUAAAAAGUCUAUGUAUGAGUCGUAGAUAAUUUGUAGAUCUUUCCGUGGCCGCGAAGAACACCUCAAUCGGACAUCCGACCAGAAAGUUAUUGCAGUUUUACUAUAGCAGUUUUUCAGUCUCAUAAUUCUGUGCAGAAUCUGUUCUCUUAAGAUUUAGGCAAUUUUAUCAACAGAAUUAAACUGUGGGUUGGUAAAAUAAGUUGUAGAUAAUUUUAUAAGCUUUCCAGAUUGUUAAAGAGUGCAUUCAUAUGAUUUGUGAAACUCCAGUUAUGUUUGUUUUACUGUGGCUGUUCCUGUUUACCUGACAAAAAUGAGUGGGUCUGUUCACUGGUGGGUUUCAUCUAGUAAAUGGCCGAAUUGGCUCUUCCAACUAUGGAGACUUUUGUAGAGGGAUAAAAGUUCUUACUUCCAGCAGAAUUUCAUAAUUUUUGGUUCAGCAGUUUUGGAGAUAUCGAAUUUUAAAGUUAACCAUACUGCUGUCUAAAACAGAUUCAGUCAGUUAUCUUGUCAGAUGUUUUAGAACUUGUAGAUGGCAGAAUUUAAUUAUCUAUUGAAUACUGAAGUUGUAGAGUAUUUUGUGUAGAUACUCAUAGAGUAUUUGUUUGAUAUCACCGCUGUUUUAAUUUUAAAGAUACAAAAUUAACAAACAGCGUUGCUGUUGUAUGGCAUGUGGUUUAGGGUGGGAGUCUUUCCACUGGGUCUUGGUUUCAAGUGUAGGAGUGUUUUGUUGAUUGAUGGCAAAUGUUUGUGAAAUAUGUGUACUAAGUUUUAUGCCCACUAGCAGGUGGCUACACUCCAGAUCAUGUCUAGUACAUUUCUUCUUCUUCGAUGAAGGCAAGUGAAUGUAGCGGUGGUUGCUUCCGUUCUGACCUGUUAUUUCUAUCGCCUACACUCUAAUAUUCAGAAGUAUCAGAUUCUCUCAUAAUUGGACUCUAUGGUGAUGCUUUACUUUCUUGCAUUAUACUGAUGCUCAAUCAUAUAUUGAUGAUGAUUAUGAUUUGAGUAUGACUCAUGAGAUUAAUUCACACCCCUGAAGGUAAAUGAAGUAUUAUUUGAGGUUGAUAUUGUAUCUGAAGGUAAAUGAAGUAUUAUUUGAGGUUUGUGUUGUAUCUGAAGGAAGUGAAGUUUAUUGAUAAAUGUAGCAUGCCAUAUACAUUGCAUGACUCAUUUGCAUAUGAAGUUUUGUCGUGACCUAUGGUCCGACUGUACCGGUACAACUUAGCAUCGUACGUUGCCCGAGAAGGGGUACGAUGCGGCUUCAUACCCUUAGAGGUAUGAAGGCAGAAGACAUAUGCAUUGCAUUCAUAUGCAUUCAUUGAAGUGAUAUUUGCAGAUGAUGUGGUUUUAUACCCCCAGAGGUAUGAAGAUAGAGUACCUACACAUUGCAUUCCUAUGCAUACAUUGAAGUGAUAUUUGCAGGUAUUGUUGACGCAGGGAAGUGUUAUAGAACCUAUUGUGGUUGUUCGAGGAAAUGAGAUGGUAUUGGUUAUAGUGGGACUACUGAGUUCUAUAUCUACAAGCAUUUCUGAUUUUUAAUUGUGACUCUUUUAAAAUGUUGAUGAAUUCAAUUUGUGGUUUAAAUAUCUCGUCAGAACAAUUAGCUUGCUGAGAUGUUUCAUCUCACUCUUGCAUUACUCAAUGCAGGUGCUUGUUGCUCAUCAAGGGGAGUGGGAAGUAGCAGCACAUCCACCUUCAUUCUCAUAAUAAUGCUGCCCAGACGCAGCCAUGAUUUAAUUAGAAACUUCUUGUCAAAGGAUGUUUGUUUUUAACUAGUCGUGCGCACUGAUUAAUUCAGUUCAUGUUGUUAUGGUUGUCUUCCCAUUGCUAGCAGAUUAUUAAUGUCUUAUAUGUUUUCUUAUCAUGAUAUCUAUUUAUACUUUGUUGCUUCCCCCGUUUAUGCAAUUUUCAAAGGAGAUGCUGUUGAAAUUUUAUAUAUGAAUAUUAGAUGUGUAGUUUAGUAGCAUUCUGGGGUGUUUGUGGAUCCCGGGGUGUUACAGUUGGUAUCAAAGCAUAGGCUUUAGAUUCUUGGCAAUUUGAAGAUAAAUUUGACACACUUGCACAUAUAGGAAGGGUAUGGGUUCAAAUAUCUUUGAUAUAUAUUAAUGUCUUUGGAGUGCAGAUGACAAUAGUUUCACCCCUCCCUAUUCCUUUACGGUGAUGUGGUAAGUUGUUUAUGGCUUAAUGCUUAAUAUAAUUUAUUUCUGAAAUUGUGAUAUUGUUUUAUUAAUGCGGUAGAUAUCGCUGGUCAUUGGUGAGAAUGAAGUUGUUAUUAUGCUUGUGAUAUACAAGUAUGCCUAUGUUGUUUUCACCAUGUUUUUCAUGGUUGAGUUUUAUUACAAUAAUAUUGUUAUAUAUGCUUGAUUGUGGAUGUUUCUAAGAGGAGUGUGAAUUGCGUGUUUUGGGGUACAAGGUAAUCAUCCAUUUGAAUUUAAGUUGUUGAGCGGUUGGUGGAUAGCUCCAACUAUCAUUGCAAAGAAUGAUUGUUUAUGUUGAGAAACCAGUUUUGAAAGAAAUGAAUAUUGGUACUUUAUAUGGAUUUUUGGGGGAAGUCUUUUCAUAGCCAGAAUGGCUUACAUGUCUCUCUCAUAUUGUGUGUUUUAGUUGCCACAAAGCCUAGAUGUGGUUUAAAGUGGUUGCCUGUUAGUCAUACUAAUUGUAGAAUAAAUCUUUGAUUCUCUUGAUCCAUUGAUUAUGUAUUGAUACAUUGAGGAUCUGAUGGUUCCCUUUUCGAUGCAUGCUUGUGGAGCCAUUUUUUAGACCACCUAUCUAUUGGUUUGAAGGAAGUCCUUGCCUAGCCUAGAGUUGGUUGGGUGUGGCUAGUCACCUAUUCCUAGAUCAUGUGGUGUUUACAUCAGCUUAAUAUGUUUGUCAAAUGUGUGAAGGAUUAGGGGUUAUUAUUAUUGACUUUGUAUGUCUGGUACUUUGAGUGCAUCGUAUGAUAGAAUGAAAUGUAAGUUUCUGAACUACAGUAGAUGAAGACUUAUAUUAUGUGUAGGUUAUCCUUACUAGUUGGAUAUUUUUCUUAGUUGAGAUGUUGAAUGAAGUAUAGUGACAUGGGUUAAGCAAGUAUUGUGUUGUUGUUGGG
rnacentral:lncRNA from 1 species